AGAGUUUGAUCCCGGCUCAGGACGAACGCUGGCGGCGUGCCUAACACAUGCAAGUCGAACGGACUGAUUUUCUUCGGAAAUGAAAGUUAGUGGCGGACGGGUGAGUAACGCGUGAGUAACCUGCCUUACAGAGGGGGAUAACGUUUGGAAACGAACGCUAAUACCGCAUAACAUAUUUGAGUCGCAUGGCUUAGAUAUCAAAGGAGCAAUCCGCUGUAAGAUGGACUCGCGUCCGAUUAGAUAGUUGGCGGGGUAACGGCCCACCAAGUCGACGAUCGGUAGCCGGACUGAGAGGUUGAUCGGCCACAUUGGGACUGAGACACGGCCCAGACUCCUACGGGAGGCAGCAGUGAGGAAUAUUGGUCAAUGGGCGCAGGCCUGAACCAGCCAAGUCGCGUGAGGGAUGACGGUCCUACGGAUUGUAAACCUCUUUUGUCGGGGAGUAACGUGCGGGACGUGUCCCGUAUUGAGAGUACCCGAAGAAAAAGCAUCGGCUAACUCCGUGCCAGCAGCCGCGGUAAUACGGAGGAUGCGAGCGUUAUCCGGAUUUAUUGGGUUUAAAGGGUGCGCAGGCGGCGCGCCAAGUCAGCGGUCAAAGUUCCGGGCUCAACCCGGUGUCGCCGUUGAAACUGGCGUGCUCGAGUGCGUGCGAGGAAGGCGGAAUGCGUUGUGUAGCGGUGAAUGCAUAGAUAUGACGCAGAACUCCGAUUGCGAAGGCAGCUUUCCAGCGCGCUACUGACGCUGAGGCACGAAAGCGUGGGGAUCGAACAGGAUUAGAUACCCUGGUAGUCCACGCAGUAAACGAUGACUACUAGCUUUCCGGGAUGAUUGAGUCCUGGGAGGCACAGCGAAAGCGUUAAGUAGUCCACCUGGGGAGUACGCCGGCAACGGUGAAACUCAAAGGAAUUGACGGGGGCCCGCACAAGCGGAGGAACAUGUGGUUUAAUUCGAUGAUACGCGAGGAACCUUACCCGGGCUCAAACGACAGUGGACAGCUCCUGAAAGGGAGUCUCCGGCAACGGCCGCUGUCGAGGUGCUGCAUGGUUGUCGUCAGCUCGUGCCGUGAGGUGUCGGCUUAAGUGCCAUAACGAGCGCAAUCCCCAUCUCCAGUUGCCACCGGGUCGUGCCGGGCACUCUGGAGGGACUGCCAGCGCAAGCUGCGAGGAAGGCGGGGAUGACGUCAAAUCAGCACGGCCCUUACGUCCGGGGCGACACACGUGUUACAAUGGCGGAGAACAGAGGGGAGCCACGUGGCGACACGGAGCCGAUCCCUAAAAUCCGUCUCAGUUCGGAUUGGAGUCUGCAACCCGACUCCAUGAAGCUGGAUUCGCUAGUAAUCGCGCAUCAGCCAUGGCGCGGUGAAUACGUUCCCGGGCCUUGCACUCACCGCCCGUCAAG
rnacentral:rRNA from 1 species